rnacentral:rRNA from 1 species
GACGAACGCUGGCGGCGUGCUUAACACAUGCAAGUCGAACGGAAAGGCCCUGCUUUUGCUGGUUGCUCGAGUGGCGAACGGGUGAGUAACACGUGAGUAACCUGCCCCUGACUUUGGGAUAACUUUUGGAAACUCGGGCUAAUACCGGAUAGGAUCUCCUGCUGCACGGUGUGGGUUGGAAAGUUUCGGCGGUUGGGGAUGUACUCGCGGGUUAUCGGCUUGUUGGGGUGGUAGUGGCUUACCAAGGCUUUGAAGGCUAGCCGGCCUGAGAGGGGAGACGGCGACAUUGGGCCUGAGAUAGGGACCAGAAGCGUAUGGGAGGCAGCAGUCGGGAAUAUUGCAGAAUGGGCGGACGUGAGUGACGACAACGCCGGGUGCGGGAUGACCGCCUUCGGGUUAUAAACCGAUGUGGCCUGUAACGAAGCGUGCGUGACGGUAAUGGGUAAGAAAGCAACGGCUAACUACGUG